rnacentral:rRNA from 1 species
GACCUCAGAUCAGGCAAGACUACACGCUGAAUUUAAGCAUAUUAAUA